rnacentral:pre_miRNA from 1 species
UGAGAACUGAAUUCCAUGGACUGGUUUCAGUUCUGUAUCUUCAGUCCAUGGUAGUCAGUUCUCUA